rnacentral:rRNA from 1 species
UACAGAGGUCUCAAGCGUUGUUCGGAUUCAUUGGGCGUAAAGGGUGCGUAGGCGGCGCGGUAAGUCGGGUGUGAAAUCUCGGAGCUUAACUCCGAAACUGCAUUCGAUACUGCCGUGCUUGAGGACUGGAGAGGAGACUGGAAUUUACGGUGUAGCGGUGAAAUGCGUAGAUAUCGUAAGGAAGACCAGUGGCGAAGGCGGGUCUCUGGAACGCAACUGACGCUGAGACGCGAAAGCGUGGGGAGCAAACAGG